AACGAACGCUGGCGGCGCGCCUAAUACAUGCAAGUCGAGCGAGAAGGUGUAGCAAUACACUUGUAAAGCGGCGAACGGGUGAGGAAUACAUGGGUAAUCUACCAUCGAGUGGGGAAUAACCAACCGAAAGGUUGGCUAAUACCGCGUACGCCUCCGAAUCUUCGGGUUCGGAGGGAAAGCUGCACUGUGAGUGUAGCGCUCUUUGAUGAGCUCAUGUCCUAUCAGCUUGUUGGUAGGGUAACGGCCUACCAAGGCUUUGACGGGUAGCUGGUCUGAGAGGACGAUCAGCCACACUGGCACUGCGACACGGGCCAGACUCCUACGGGAGGCAGCAGUAAGGAAUAUUGCGCAAUGGGCGAAAGCCUGACGCAGCGACGCCGCGUGGAGGAUGACGCC
rnacentral:rRNA from 1 species